AAUAUUGCGCAAUGGGCGAAAGCCUGACGCAGCGACGCCGCGUGAGCGAUGAAGGCCUUCGGGUCGUAAAGCUCUGUCCUCAGGGAAGAAGGAAGUGACGGUACCUGAGGAGGAAGCCCCGGCUCACUCCGUGCCAGCAGCCGCGGUAAUACGUAGGGGGCGAGCUUUGUCCGGAAUUACUGGGCGUAAAGGGUGCGUAGGCGGCCUUUUAAGUCAGAUGUGAAGGCCCACGGAUUAACCGUGGGACUGCAUUUGAAACUGGAGGGCUUGAGUAUCGGAGAGGGUAGUGGAAUUCCCAGUGUAGCGGUGGAAUGCGUAGAUAUUGAGAGGAACACCAGUGGCGAAGGCGACUACCUGGACGAAAACUGACGCUGAGGCACGAAAGCUAGGGGAGCAAAC
rnacentral:rRNA from 1 species